CUUUAAGGUCUUUUCCAACUGACCAGUUCUAUGAUUCGAAGCUGAAGGGACCAAGGGAGAAGGCUCUGUGGCCUGCAGCCUGCUGCAUAUUCCUUGUCAUAUAGACGUCUGGGUGUUCAAAGCAUGGAACAUGCCUGAGAAAGUGACAGAAAGUGACAGUGGGGCAGAAGCCCCCUCUUUUUGUGGCUUGUCUGUCCUCAGGCCCAACUGGAAACCAAUGAUACACAGUUCAAUUUUUCAAGGUGCAUCUGCCAUGCCUAUACCCACCUCCUCCUCCUGCACAACCUGUCUCAGAUAUGCUGCCUACUUGACUCAAGCCUUCCUUGACAGCAGCUUAAAAAUCCCAAGAGCUCUGAAGUAACACACUGAGGCUCUUUCGGUUUUCAAGUGUUGUGGGCAAUGUCUACACAGUCAGCUCACGCAAUGGAAGCCAACCAGAGACAGGUUUCCAUUUGGAUACCAGUUCUUUUGGCUUUAAUCCAUCAUCAUGAGAACACUGUUUGGUCCGUUUUUCGAAGGUAACCAGGAGUCACCUGUCUCUGGUGCAGACCUCAAAUCUCUAGUUUCAUGACUUGGAAAUUCUGUACCUGAAGUUACCAAGUGCUGUGUCCCGCCCUGCGUACUUUAAGCUCUCCCACUGACUUCAACCUGAACAGCACAGACUUUCAACUCAGUAAAUUAAACACUCAUAAGCUCAGGUUCAUUCUUAUUCGACAGAAGUUUCACCCUAAGCUGAACUACAUCCCAUGUUUGAGAACUUGCUUGAAUACAGAGAAAUUUUGGCGCUGACAUCUUGUCAGAAACAGCCUCCUGGCUACAAAGAAACAAAUUGCUUUCCGUGUUGACUGUAUUUUUUCCCCUCAUUUAACCUUUGGUUUAUUUCUUUGUCUGCCUUAGGCUUGUGCCUUUCGGAGCUGAGAUCAUCUUUGAUGGAAGGUGCCUUGCAUGGGGCUAUGAACAGUGAGCAAAAGUAUAAGCGCAGCAGCGGCGGCGGCUUAACUAAGGGCAGUGAAAGAAGUUCUUAUCCUGCUUUAAAAACAUGUCUUAGAAAUAGAAAAAAUGAAAGACCGGCCCAUUAAUGAGAAAGGGCAAACCAUUAAUCACAUAUUUAAAAUUAUUCUAAUACUUCCAGAAAAACCUGUCUUGAAUAAGAAAGCUUGAGUAUGUGCAAUUAGGAAGUAGUGUAAAUCUCCUAAGUAAAAACCUAGGUUGAAAGAAACAGGUAUGAUAUGAGUCAGGAAGAUUUAAUUUAUGCAAAUCAGCAAGACCAGAUUAUAGCAUCCUAAAUUGCAAAUGGAAGUAGUUAAUGAGUUUAUUGAAUCCCUAAAUUAUUUCUGAGCUCUUCUGGUGAGCCGGGAAAGUAAUGAGCACUGGGCAAAAUGUGGGAGUUGCCUUUGUACAAUUUAUAGCUGUUGAUAUACCUGAUGGUGUUGUGUCGCUGGUAGUCAGACAGCUAAUGGAUAUGCUAAUUUCUUUGAAGUUUAUCUUCCUUAAGUGGAGUCUCUUUUUCCCAUACAUAGGGAUAAAAUCACAGACACCGAGGCAGGAGCUCUCUAAGAAGAAAGCCUGAAGCUCUUAAAAGCCAAACUUCAGAAGGGACAUGAGGAAGCUGGUUGCAGCCGUGUUCCCAUGGAGCUGCAGAGGAGCUGGCACCCAUGGAGCAAGGGCUCUGCUGGCACGGCUGGCCCACCUCAAAACGUUAAAAAGCCCUCUCAAACUCCGUCCCCAAACCAGCAUCUGAUUUCGAGCAAACCCACCAGUUUGAAUGAGUGCACCAGCACUGAAGGUUGGUUGUGUCUGUGAGGCAAUGUGUUGCACCCUCCACUCCCAUGUGCAGUGUACCACCAGCACAGGCUUUGUAAGGUGGAGAGAUGAGUGCAACGGGCCACAGAGCUGAAACAAAGCCUCGGUGCUAAGGUGUAAGGGCAGGAGCUCUUGUGAGGUUCCAGUUGUCUUGAGAAAACUCCUCUAAAGGAAGGGCAGUAAGAAAGAGGGAAAAGCACUCACCUCUUCUCCAUCACAGCUGGGAAUGACCUUCAUUUAGACUGCAUGUUGUUCUUUGUUGCCAGAGUCUGUGCUCAUGGAGGGUGAGUCUGUAAUGAUAUAUUUGUGAUUCAUUAUAUAAGUGAUAGUGACUAAUGUCGUUCUGCAUGUCAUCGGGGGAUUAAACACAAUCCACUUAAUGCACAAGGAACUCCACUAUAAAAAUGUAUUUGUGAUUGUUGCUGAUGACAAAUGUUGGCUUCUGAAGUCUGAGCUAGUGUCAGACAAAUCCGAGGACUUCCUGGAGGCCUGCCUAUUCCCUUGAAAUACCUUAUUAAUUAACAUUUUGCCUACAAUAAGCAGUUCACAAAAGCAAGCCUCAGACAGACAUUACUGUCUGCAUUAAAUAAAUUGCUCUUCCUCCCUUG
ensembl:lncRNA